rnacentral:lncRNA from 1 species
GGGGGUUAUCAAUUAUUUGUUGCAGUGCAGCUCCCUCCUGCUGCAGGCUGACCUGCAAGGGUUUGGCUGCAUGAGGGUGGGCGAGAACCCAUGGCCAGGAAGCUGUGGGAGAUGCACCUGGGAGGAGAAGCACUUUGCUCGAGGAAGAAAACAGGAUCUAACAUAUAAACAACAUCCUCAAUGGCUCAGCAAGUCAUUGGGAAUGAAGAAAAAGUGCUACUGGGAAAGGCUUCCCCAUUAUUGCCAAAGCAUGUCAGGAGGUGGGCACUACUCGUGGCAUUAUGGCAGUGAGGUGGAGCAGGGCUGCUCUCAGGAGAUGGAGCAGCUUUCCUCUCAGUGUGUGCCCAGUGUCCAUCACCACGCAUGUGCUGCACCACAACAGCUGAAUGAAGCAGCCAGGAAUCACUAUUCCCAAAUAUGUUGCUCACAGCAUUCGGUCCCAUCAUGGUAGCACCGUGAUGGACAGCCUGGCUGAAACCGAGGACAGAAACCAUUAACAGCAGAGCACAGGGAGUGCUGCGAAGGCAAAACCCAACCACGAGCAGUUGCAGAAGAAAAGGGCAUCCCCAGGGUCAGGAGAUGGCUUUGAACAGGUCGGGUGCUUCGAUGGACACGGGGGUGAUGGAUGAACCCGCGCCGCGUGCUGACUGCAUUACGUUGGACGUGUGGGUUGCAGUUGAUCAGUUUGAGUACGACUGCCAAAAAGCUGAAGGAAGUCCAUAAAUUACCCCAGAGCUAUGGAAACAGAUCCUUUUUGCAGAGGGACCAAGGGAGCGGCAGCGUCCCUGGGUAGCCCAUCUGCAUCCCAUAAAGGAGCGGAUACCUGUAAUUAGUGCCAUGACUUAUCACAGAUAUGUCUCCAUCUGUGAGGACAGCGCUCCGCGAGUGGGAGCAUUUAACAGGGAACAACCAAGACAGCUGAACGUGCAGUUUCCCUGGACGGAUUCCAGUUGAGACGAUUGAGGCAAAAGCUCGCUCUUGCCAGCAUGGGGGAAAUCUAAGCCUCAGAGCUGAUUGCAUUUCCAAGAAACAAAGCAGGGAAACUUGGACACACUGCACUUGGUGCGCUGGGGUUCAUGUCGUGUUUUCGGUGUCCAGGUGCCCCAGCAAGGUGCCAUGGUGCUGGCUGGAAAUCAGAGAUCCUGAGCAAACUGCUCUGUGUUUGUAUCCCUCAAAGCUGCAAGGAUGGGGGAAUCUGGGAUGCAUUUUCCCUCCCUGUGCUCCACAGCCUCCCUCCUACUGAGGCUUAAACAAAAGGGAGAGGAGGCCACUGUGGAGUAAAUGAGGCCCUUAAUUUACCAUUAAAAGAAGAGGACUGGCUGUUAAGGUUUUAUCAGAUUACAACAAAGGCUCUGUGUGCUCAGGAGACUGUGGUUUGGUUCCCGGCACUGCUGGCAGGGCUGGAAAUCCUAACCACAGAUUAUAGCAAGAAGCUUCCAAAUCUCCGUGCU